rnacentral:sRNA from 20 species
AUGAAUAAAGAUUUACGAAAUCAUUAGGUAAUGGAGUGGUCCAUCCCCAAUUCAAUCAAAAUAUUGUUUUCUCUCUCUCCAUAAACAAAUAGUAUUUUUGAUAUGACUGCUUGUUAUUAAAAUGAUUGUUUCAGUUGUCUUUGUUUGGAUAUCAUAUUUGCUGAUGCUCAAGUCAGCGGAGAUAAAGCUCGGUUUACCGGGCUUUAU